UGUUAGGGUGCAGUGUGUGUGUUAGGGUGCUAUGUCAAUGUUAGGGUGCUGGUGUUAGGGUGCUGUGUGUGUGUGUGUUGGGGUGCUGUGUGUGUGUUAGGGUGUUGUGUGAGUGCUACGGUGCUGUGUGUGUGUUAGGGUGAUGUGUCAAUGUUAGGGUGCUGGUGUUAGGGUGCUGUGUGUGUGUUGGGGUGCUGUGUGUGUUAGGGUUCUGUGUCAAUGUUAGGGUGCUGGUGUUAGGGUGCUGUGUGUGUGUUAGGGUGCUGUGUCAAUGUUAGGGUGCUGGUGUUAGGGUGCUGUGUGUGUGUUAGGGUUCUGUGUCAAUGUUAGGGUGCUGGUGUUAGGGUGCUGUGUCAAUGUUAGGGUGCUGG